GCCUCUUAGGUCCUUGAUCAGAAGAACAGGACUGCAUGCCUGGGGGUGGGUGCAGUCUGGCGUGCCAGGAGGAGGCCUGCACCCCCUGCUCGAAACUGCUGAGGUCGACUCCCCUCCCACCCCAAGAGCUGGGGAUACCUGCAGGAUGUGCACGCCCUUCAGGGAGACCACGGCAAGCUCCUGCAGCCCAUCCCCGGUCAGGUCCACGUGAGCCAUGGCCAGCAGGGGACUGGAGAAGCUCCGCUGCCACAGCAGAUGGAACCCGUGCUGGGCCUCAGGAAGCCCCGACUCUGGGCCCCGGUACUUAUAACACAGCAGUUCCUGCGGGGGUGAAGAAUCAGGUCACACAGGUUGAUGGGGGGACAGUGGAGGGAGGCCGGUGGGUGUGGCUCCAACUGUCAGGUCCCACCUGUCCAUAGGUGGCCACCAGGACUUCUGGCCGCCCAUCCAAAUCCACAUCGGUGACCAGGCUGCAGAGGACGCUGUCAAACUGGUCACUGCCGGGCAGGAGAAGCUGGUCUUCAAGACCCCGGUUCAGCAGGUCCCUGAGGGUCCCAAAUACAGCAUAUAGACUGGGGUCAGCUUGCAGUGCCCAGCACCCUUGGCGGAUGCUAAGCUGGGUACCGGUACUGCUUCCCUUCUCAGGCCUAGACACACUGGUCCUCCGGAAGCCUAGACAUCAUCAUCUCAGAUUUGGACAUAUUCAUAGACCCAGCAAGGGGUCAACCUGUGCACUCAAGCCCUUCAUCUCGGAGACCAUCUCACUCCCAAAUGGAAAGCCACAGUGUCCCAUCUGAGGAUUCAGAUGCAUGUGUCCUCAAUUUAGACACCCACGCUGCCUUCGUGGAGCCCGAAGAGGGCUUGGCCCUGGCCUGGACACCUUCACCACCCCUAGAGGGGUGCCAGAGCUGGCUAUAGUUGCUUCCGAGAGCUGACUGGGAAAUGUUCCCAUGUAAUCAUGUUCAUGGUUUGAAAGCCACCAUGGUGGGAGUAUUUACACUUUGGAAACUCUGGUAAAUGCUACAAACCUGGGCUUUCCUCGUGCAUAGCCAGUGAUUAACCAUUUUCCAGCAUACCUACUACAUCUACUCCAGGGGGCACAGGCAUCUCUGCUCCCACCCCCCAGCCUCAACAUAUUCCCUACAAGUCUAGACUUCAAUAUUCACAGCCCCCACCCCUGGGUCACGAGUAUCUGUACUUGUCCAGCUCUGGGUAAUCCACCCAGAGGAACUUACUGUAGAGAAUGACAAGGUUAGACCACAGUGCAAAGAAAGAAGGUUAGACCACACCCAUGUGUCUCAGGCCCCCUCACCGAUACACCACUGCUGGCUCCAACAUGCUGGCCACGAGCACGCUGUACUCAUCUUGUAGUGGCCUGUCCUUGGUCUCUGGAGAAGAAACAUGAAUGGUAAUCCCAGCACUUUGGGAGGCCAAGGCGGGUGGAUCAGCUGAGGUCAGGAGUUCGAGACCAGCCUGGUCAACAUGAUAAAACCCCGCCUCUACUAAAAACACAAAAAUUAGCCGGGCAUGGUGGCGGGCACCUGUAAUGCCAGCUACUCAGGAGGCUGAGGCAGGAGACUUGCUUGAACCUGGGAGGCGGAGGUUGGAGUGAGCCAAGAUCACACCACUGCACUCCAGCCUGGGUGACAGAGCGAGACUCCGUCUCAGAAAAAGAAAAAAAAAAAAAGAAACAUGAAUGAAUAGGGGAAAGGUUUUGUGGGGACAGGUUCCAGGCUCCUCGUCAUACCCCAGGCCCCUUUAAUGAGAGACAUGCAGGUUAGAUCUCAGGAAAAAGUCUUGAGGCUGUGCUACACAGGGAGGGUUAGAGAUUGGCCCAUGAGACAAAUUAUAAGUCAGACACCAGAAGGAGAAAUAGGUGUUAGAUGAUGGCUUAAAAAGUCUGAGGUUCUGGGUGUGGUGGCUCAUGUAAUCCCAGCACUUUUGGAGGCCGAGGCAGGCGGAUCACCUGAGGUCAAGAGUUCGAGACUAGCCUGGCCAACAUGGUGAAACCCUGUGUCUACUAAAAACACAAAAAUUAGCCUGGCAUGAUGGCAUACACUUGUAAUCCCAGCUACUCAGGAGGCUGAGGCAGGAGAAUUGCUUGAACCUGGGAGGUGGAGGUGAUAGUGAGCCGAGAUUGUGCCACUGCAACCAGCC
ensembl:lncRNA novel transcript, antisense to KPTNand SLC8A2